rnacentral:rRNA from 1 species
UGAGGAACAUGACUUUCGGUGGGGGAGUAGCCGGCCCAACGGCCGGGUAAUACCGCGUACGACCAUUUGGGGACAUCCCCGAGUGGUGAAAGCAGCAAUGCGCCGAAAGAGUGCCUCGCGGCCUAUCAGCUAGUUGGUGAGGUAAUGGCUCACCAAGGCGACGACGGGUAGCUGGUCUGAGAGGAUGGCCAGCCACAUUGGGACUGAGACACGGCCCAGACUCCUACGGGAGCA